rnacentral:miRNA from 2 species
CAACAAAUCAUAGCCUGCCAUA